GAACGGAGUUAAGGAGCUUGCUUCUUACUUUAGUGGCGAACGGGUGAGUAACGCGUGAGGAACCUGCCUCUCAGUGGGGGACAACAGUUGGAAACGACUGCUAAUACCGCAUGAAACCGUAGUACCGCAUGGUACAUCGGUCAAAGAUUUAUUGCUGAGAGAUGGCCUCGCGUCUGAUUAGCUAGUUGGUGGGGUAACGGCCCACCAAGGCGACGAUCAGUAGCCGGACUGAGAGGUUGACCGGCCACAUUGGGACUGAGAUACGGCCCAGACUCCUACGGGAGGCAGCAGUGGGGAAUAUUGGGCAAUGGGCGAAAGCCUGACCCAGCAACGCCGCGUGAAGGAAGAAGGCCUUCGGGUUGUAAACUUCUUUUACCAGGGACGAACACAAUGACGGUACCUGGAGAAAAAGCAACGGCUAACUACGUGCCAGCAGCCGCGGUAAUACGUAGGUUGCAAGCGUUGUCCGGAAUUACUGGGUGUAAGGGCGUGUAGGCGGAGAUGCAAGUUGGGAGUGAAAUCCAUGGGCUCAACCCAUGAACUGCUUUCAAAACUGCAUCCCUUGAGUAUCGGAGAGGCAAGCGGAAUUCCUAGUGUAGCGGUGAAAUGCGUAGAUAUUAGGAGGAACACCAGUGGCGAAGGCGGCUUGCUGGACGACAACUGACGCUGAGGCGCGAAAGCGUGGGGAGCAAACAGGAUUAGAUACCCUGGUAGUCC
rnacentral:rRNA from 1 species